rnacentral:misc_RNA from 1 species
GUAUAUUGUUAUAGGCACAAAGGCCCACUUAUUGCAUUCUAUAACAUACAUUAGGGUAUUUGAAUAAACAUAGACCCAGAAAUAUAAGGAAAGUCAAUAAAGUCAAUCCCAAAACCUUAAUACUAGGAUUAAGAAAUUUGUCCAGGUCUACAAAAGGUGCACAGGUGGAGAUAUAAAGAUGACAGAUGUGCACAUGUUCAUUAAAGAACCAGCAACAAUCUAUCAGGUUUACUUCAAUAAUGAUCCUUCCGCAGGUUCACCUACGGAAA